rnacentral:lncRNA from 1 species
UCCAAUUGGUUGUCCACAUGCAAGGAGGAAAUACAAGGAAAUUAAUACAAAAUUUUCUUCUCCGUGUAAUUUCAAAUUUUCUCUCGGUGAAACUUCUUCCAAAAUGAGUGCUGCCUGUUGUUCAUGUUUCCGUACAAUCUCUCGUACAUACGAUUUCAGUUCCCACGCCAGAGCUGCCCCAUGCAGAACCUUCUCCUCCUCGACUCUCCGUCCUCAUCGACCUCGCACCCGCCGCCGCCGCCGCUUCUUUAUAAUUUUCAAAUUCUCCGGUUGAUCAUCAUCUGCCGCCCCAUGGCCACCUCAUUAAAGUGGCUACUGACCAUCCCUUAUUUUUUUUUGUUAUUAUUAUUAUUUUGAUCCACCGUGUUCCAUUCUUUUUAGAAAUUGGUUGAGAUGCCAUUUUGAGAAUAUAAUAUAGCAAAUAUAGCACAAUUAUUUAGAAUUUUGUAAAUAUGACAAAAUUUUUAUUUUAAAUUUGUUAUUAUUUCGAAACUACCUUUCAAAAAUUUAUUUCUCUUUCUCUUUUUAGUGUCCGGCCUGUUAUUUAUUUAUUCUUCUAUUUUUUAAGGUUCUAAUUAUUUAUUUAUUUUUAUACCAGAAAAAUUAGUUGUUCUUUCGGUCUUAAUUUUGAUUUUAGAAUAUCAAUAGUACAAUAAUUGCAAUAUAAAAUAUAUUGGUGUUGUUAAUCAGAGUAAUUUAACUUCAUUUGUGUUUUUUUUUUUACUUUAUUCGAUAUGUAUUUUGAGUUGAAUCUGAUUUCAAAUGAUUUUGUUCUUUUUUCCAUUGAUUUUAUUUUGGUUUUACUUUGUCUCAGUUUUAGAUAUCAAUGUUGUGAUAUACUUAUAUUAUAUGUAUUAGUUGUUUGAUAUACUACAACAUGAUUUUCAUUUUUUUCAAAUUUUAUACAAGUUCAUUAUAGUAUUAUUAAAUAUACGAAUGAUAUAACUCAAUGUAUCAUUAUCAAGUAUAUGAAUCAAGUUUACAGGUGUAUAUUAAAAGUAUAUCAAGUGUAUAAAUAGAACUUAAAGUAUAUCAAGUGUAUUUAAUCAAUAUUUCAAAUGAAUCAAGUUUACAUAUGUAUAUCAAGUGUAUAAAUAGGAUUUCAUAUCAAGUAUAUUUAAUCAUUUAAAUGUGUAGGUGAAUAAUACUAAUUGAGUGUAUUUGCAUAGUGCAUCAGGUGUGUCAAAUAUAUCAUGUACAUCAAACGUAUCAAAUUUGUUGAGUGUACCAAUGAAGCAUAACAAAUUUAUUAGUGGUGUAUCAAGUGUAUUAGUGCAUAACAAGUUUAAACUUAUAAGUGGAGUUUUUAAGUGUAUCAAACUAAUCAAGUAUAUCAAGGUCUAAGGGGUAUCAAGUGUAUCAUGAAGAAUCAAGUGUAACGAUGAGUAUUUAUGUGUAUCAAGAUGUUUCAGGUGUGUAUCAAAAUGUAUCAAGUGUAUCAAAUAGUAUCAGGUGCAUCAAAUGUAUUUAUCAAAUGUAUCAAGUGCAUCAAGUGUAUCUAUCAAAUGUAUCUAUCAAGUGUAUGUGUAAGAAGUAUCAAGUGUAUCAGAGAAUAUUAGGUGUAUUAUACGUGUAUAAUAUAAGGUGUAUCAAAUGUAUAUCAGUAGUGAGGACAUUUGUGACAUUUUAUCUAUUGAUGUGUGUUGGACUUUGUUUUUGUCAUCUUCGUAAAUAAUAAAGUAAGCCCAGCUUAUUUGAUAUGUAAGCUUUUUAUUAUUAUUAUUUAAGUCAAUUUAAU